rnacentral:tRNA from 1 species
AGUUCUGGGGUGUUACACGUCAGAUUGCAAAUCUGAAGAAGCAGACGAAAGUAUGCCGGGACUU